rnacentral:lncRNA from 1 species
CGCGCACGUGACCGGGGUCGGGGCAGGGGGCGGGGCCGAGCGGGAGACCAGAGAGCUGGAGCCGGAUCCCGAUCCCGAGUCCGAGCCGCCGCCGCCGCCAUGAGCUGCCCCGUCCCCGCCUGCUGCGCGCUGCUGCUAGUCCUGGGGCUCUGCCGGGCGCGUCCCCGGAACGCACUGCUGCUCCUCGCGGAUGACGGAGGCUUUGAGAGUGGCGCGUACAACAACAGCGCCGUCGCCACCCCGCACCUGGACGCCCUGGCCCGCCGCAGCCUCCUCUUCCGCAAUGCCUUCACCUCGGUCAGCAGCUGCUCUCCCAGCCGUGCCAGCCUCCUCACUGGCCUGC